GCGCGUGUAGGCAAGUGGAAAGCUAACUGUCUGCAAAACAGUCAUCGCUGGUUCGAUUCCAGCCGCGUGCUCCA
rnacentral:tRNA from 1 species